UCGCAUGCACACGAACGCUGAUUUUAAAAAAGAAAGCAUAGAAUAGACAAAAUAUUUACAAAUUAUUUAAUUUGUAAAUUGUUCAGUCUGACAGAUUUGCGUUUAUAGUCUAGAAAGGGUGCACAAGACAGUAAUAAAGUGACAGGUAACUCAUCUAAAUGGUGCCACUGGGAUUCUAACGGACGCUCCUCCAAAGACACGAAAAUGGUGCUUCCCUUCACCAACUGCUAAAAAACACUGAUCAAACCUGUAGUAAGGUACCGAGUAACACACGCUGGUGUCUGUAAGGAAAAACAGAGGCAACGCAUGUAAGCAAGCGAUGAUUGGAAAACCGGGACCUCACACACUGGUGUGCUGGAUGGCCUUGGGUUUUUCUUUCAGGGAGAAGGCAUGGGACUACUUCAAAGGAUGUCAGAGAUGGUGGUAUGUAAGGUGCCCAUAACUUUACAGUGGACAACACAAAGAACCAUGGCUGGGGGAUCUAUGCAGAAGAAGAGAAAGAAAGUCAGCCAAAGCUGAUGGGUGAUUCCAAGAAAACACAGUCUUCCAGACACAACAGGACCGGUACACGCAUGAACUCAGUACUGUGGGAGCAUGCAUAAGACCUGAACAGGCUUAGAGCCCACGAGUAGUUGGCCAAUAUAAAAUGAGCUCCGUGGUAUUUUCGUGAACCAUUUUCCUCCUUUUGCUUUGUCCUGCCAUUUCCUUUUGUCUUAGUGGUGUUUGGCUUGUUGUAGAGCAAAUCCCUUGUGUACUACAGCAGAGGUUUCAAAAAGACAGGAAGAGGACUGGUGUAA
rnacentral:lncRNA from 1 species